rnacentral:lncRNA from 1 species
UGAGUAUGACUGGAAACCUGAAUUCUGUAAUCACUGCUUGAAGUUUGGUCGCAACUCCCUUGACUUUUGGUAUAAUGGACAUAAUGAAGGGGAGCAGGAGCUGCCAGAGCAAAGUAAGGAGCUUAGGAAAAGGCCUCGAGGAAAGAAACCAAGGCAAGAAUGGAUUCCUAAAGCUAGCAUAGAUAACAAAGAUACACUGGC